rnacentral:tRNA from 1 species
GUUAGGGUGGCCGAGAAUUAAGCAUUAGUUUGUAAAACUAACAACGGAGAUAUUCCCCCUAAUA